GGAACUUAGGUUAAACUAUUAAACCAAGGACCUUCAAAGUCCUAAACAUGGGCUACAACCCCUAGUUCCUGAAGACCU
rnacentral:tRNA from 1 species